GUUAAUACCGGAAUUGUCCUCUAAACAUGCGCUGAUCACGUCAACGCACAACUUUUUUUUUUAAUCAGCCGAUCCGCGGAUCACUUGCGUCCCGAACCGUGAUGGUUGAUCCGUACGGAUCACGGGAAACCCGUGAACCGUUGCACCACUACUGGAGACUUGGUCUAGGUGCUGGAGGCUGGGUCUAGGGACUUGAGGCUGGGACUAGGUGCUUGAGGCUGGGUCUAGGUGCUUGAGGCUGGGUCUAGGUGCUUGAGGCUGGGUCUAGGUGCUUGAGGCUUGGUCUAGGUGCUUAAGGCUUGGUCUAGGUGCUUGAGGCUAGGUGCUUGAGGCUGGGUCUAGGUGCUUGAGGCUAGGUGCUUGAGGCUGGGUCUAGGUGCUUGAGGCUUGGUCUAGGUGCUUGAGGCUAGGUGCUUGAGGCUUGGUCAAGGUGCUUGAGGCUAGGUGCUUGAGGCUUGGUCUAGGUGCUUAAGGCUUGGUCUAGGUGCUUGAGGCUAGGUGCUUGAGGCUUGGUCAAGGUGCUUGAGGCUAGGUGCUUGAGGCUUGGUCAAGGUGCUUGAGGCUAGGUGCUUGAGGCUAGGUCUAGGUGCUUGAGGCUGGGUCUGCUUGAGACUAGUCCACACAGCCAGCAGUGUUCUUUGAUGGGAGAGGUGAGAGAGAGAGAGAGAGAGAGAGAGAGAGAGAGAGAGAGAGAGAGAGAGAGA